UUCUGCAUCUUAAAGGGAAGACGAGUUGCCUUCAUCGGAGGCCGAAGUUCGAGCCUCCCUCGCUGCGCGGCGUGGCGGAAAUCCUGGAGGGGCAGGGCAGCCGGCUCGGACCCGGACCGGGCCCCAGGGCCCCCAAGAAGCUCUAACGGGGUCGUUUGGGAUGGGUACAAGAUCGUCCUUCUUUACUCAGCGAGGAGAGAACUUAACGGAACUGGUGACCCCCCUCCUGAAGGACCAGGACCUGAGUCUCCUCCUUAGGUUGACUGUUCCCCAGCCUGGGGACUGAGAGAGUUGCCUCCGACCUCGGAGCGUCUCCGCACCUGCGCCCGGUGCCUUCCCUAGCAUUCCAGGCGCCCGGGGGCUCAACACCCGCCGCAAGGGAACAAUUGGCGCGAACUAGACCAGGACAGGUUGGGGGGCGAGGUGCUGCCUCAGGAAGAGGUGAUCCGAGUCUUUGAGAGCAGGCGGUCACGUGAACGAGCGGAGCGAGCGAGCGCGCGCCGAAAGCCAGCGCGAAAGAAAGCCCACAGACAGAACUACCGACAAAGAGCCCAGGAGGGAGGCCUGCCGGGACUGCGAGCGAAAGGAGGAGCGGGAGGGCGGAGGGCUGGGAGGACUGGCCCUCCGCCUCUUUUUCCCUUUCCUCCCCUGCCUCAACAUUAUGGUCUCACACUUACGGAGCCCAGUGACCAUAGGGGACCCGGAGAUCCUGUGCUUCCGCCGAAGGAGCCUUGAUUAUCCCGGGGUCUGCCGCUGGCAGCUAGGUUGCCGCUUCCCCACUUCUGAAACGACAGAAUCAGCUGUAAUCGGUCCGAUUCUUCUGCUAGGCCCUCAUUGGUGCUGAUUACUGGGAAUUGGUUAUAAUUUUCUCAAGUGCUACCGGUUCAGUGAAAACUUCCCUCAGCUAACUUUUUCCAUUGGGGAAGUACAGACCAGGUGGAAAUGAAGUCAUCCUGUCCCCUGUCCCCCUGCCCUACAGGUGGCCACCCACUUGAGGAAGAAGCUGAAGAUGCCCUUGGUCACACAACUACGAAGUAGGGGGUGGAGCUGAGAUUUGGUCGCAGCUCCAUCUGGCUCCAGAGUGGAAACUUCAGUUUAUCCACUAUGCUCCCUGGUGCUCAGUGGCAAACAAUAAGACCAUUAGCAACCUAGAAGGAAAUGGGUGAAUAUUCCCCUGGUCCUGAAUGGAUGGGAAGUCUUUCUAGGCAUAAAGGUAAACAAAGAAACAAUAAAGGACAAAAAUGUAUAUUUGGCUAUGUAAAAAUGUAAAACUUACAUAUUUUAACCCCCUUUACCCAUUUCUUCUAGCCUC